CCUAGGGGUGCUGCAGUGAGGAAUAUUGCACAAUGGGGGGAACCCUGAUGCAGCAACGCCGCGUGGAGGAUGACGCAUUUCGGUGUGUAAACUCCUUUUAUAUGUCAAGAAAAUGACGGUAGCAUAUGAAUAAGCACCGGCUAACUCCGUGCCAGCAGCCGCGGUAAUACGGAGGGUGCAAGCGUUACUCGGAAUCACUGGGCGUAAAGGACGCGUAGGCGGGUUGGAAAGUCAGGUGUGAAAUCCUACAGCUUAACUGUAGAACUGCACUUGAAACUUCUAAUCUAGAGUAUGGGAGGGGGAGAUGGAAUUAGUGGUGUAGGGGUAAAAUCCGUAGAUAUCACUAGGAAUACCUAAAGCGAAGGCGAUCUCCUGGAACAUUACUGACGCUAAGGCGUGAAAGCGUGGGGAGCAAACAGGAUUAGAUACCCUAGUAGUC
rnacentral:rRNA from 1 species